rnacentral:pre_miRNA from 1 species
GGAAACUUGAAAACUGGCGUUGGAUCGAAAAUGGACGUCCGAGAUUCGUCCAUGUCAUCACGAGUAAAAAUUUUACUCAAAAUUGUCAUCACGAGUAAAAAUUUUACUCAAAAUUAAUUUUCUACUCUUGAUAACGUGGACGAAUAUCGAACGUCCAUUUCUCGUUCCAAUGGUAGUUUUCAAGUUUCC